rnacentral:sRNA from 1 species
AUCACUACGCAACGAGUGCUGCAAUUUAAACGGCGCUUAUUUGCACAAAUCCAUUGACAAAAGAAGGCUAAAAGGGCAUAUUCCUCGGCCUUUGAAUUGUCCAUAUAGAACACAUUUGGGAGUUGGACCUUGGCUAAUAUCAAAUCAGCUAAGAAGCGCGCCGUUCAGUCUGAAAAGGCUCGUAAGCACAACGCAAGCCGUCGCUCUAUGAUGCGUACUUUCAUCAAGAAAGUAUACGCAGCUAU